GCCUUGAGGUUUUAUAGGCCUGAUUCAGGCCAGGGAAGGAAUGUUCCUCAAAGCUGUGGUGGUGAAGGAGCCAUGAGAGGCCAGGGGGAGAGGACCUACGAUGGGGAGCUCUGGAAUCCUUCUGAAGGAUGGAAUUCUCGCCGCUCGGGAAGGGAUUAACAGCACGAGGUUUGGUUCCUUGCCGGCUCUGUCAGAGAGCAGGUGGGAAGGAGACUUUAAUGCGAGAUUUAACGAGGUGCCAAAAGUCACUGCUGCGGGAGGCGAGGCCGCGAGUUGGUCUGAGAAGAGAUGAGUCCGCUCAGGGAGGAGCGGAUGAAGGUACGGGGCAGGUUCCAGGCCGUUAUCCCGCCGUCGUGCAGCGAGCCCCGGGUGCUGCCAGCAUCCCCGGGUGUCUGCCCCGCGCGUCCCCGCUGGAACGCGCAUCCCCAGGUGUCCGAUCGGGUGUCCCCGCUGGAACGCGCAUCGCCGGGUGUCCGAUCGGGUGUCCCCGCUGGAACGCGCAUCCCCGGGUGUCCGCUCCGCGCGUCCCCGCUGGAACGCGCAUCCCGGGGUGUCCUCUCCGCGUGUCCCCGCUGGAACGCGCGUCCCCGGGUGUCCUCUCCGCGUGUCCCCGCUGGAACGUGCAUCCCCGGGUGUCCUCUCCGCGUGUCCCCGCUGGAACGCGCGUCCCCGGGUGUCCGAUCGGGUGUCCCCGCUGGAACGCGCAUCCCGGGGUGUCCGCUCGGCGUGUCCCCGCUGGAACGCGCAUCCCCGGGUGUCCACUCCGAGUGUCCCCGCUGGAACGCACAUCCCGGGGUGUCCGAUCGGGUGUCCCCGCUGGAACGCGCAUCCCGGGGUGUCCGAUCGGGUGUCCCCGCUGGAACGCGCAUCCCCGGGUGUCCGCUCCGCCCGUCCCCGUUGGAACGCGCAUCCCCAGGUGAUGCCAGCUCCGCGUGUCCCCGCUGGAACGCGCAUCCCCGGGCUGCAGCGGGAGCGGCGGCCGCGAGAGGGCACUGGAAGGAUGCGGAUUUCGGGGCUGGUCCCAAACCAUCCAGAGGCUGGAUUACCCGGGAACAGAGCUUCUUCUCCUCUCCCCUUCCUUCUGAAUCAUAAAUCAGCGCGUUGGAGCUCGGCGCAAGGCUAGAAAGGCCCAGCAUCACUGCUUCAUGAUGAUUUUUCUUUCCUACCGGGGGACUUUUUUUCCCUGCAGCUUUCACGGGUCUGUUGAAUUUUACUCAUCUUUCUUCAGUCCUGUUGAGAGUCCAGGGAACAAUCUGGUUCCUGUAUCCUGAAUUCCAGAGAUAAGGCCCCGAACUGAGACAAAACGGGCACACAGACGAGACAACUUCAAAAUUGUAUUUCGUGUAUUUUUUCCUGGUUGAGAGGUCACAAUUUCUGCCUCGUUUCCCUGAAUUUAUUUCAAGCACUUGGUUUCCUAGUCCCAAAGGGUGACAGGGAGUGGUUUCCCUAAGAAUUAUUGUCUUCCCUGUGAUGGAGGGUGCUGCAGGAGCAAAUCCUCCUCCUUCAACUGACUGUCAGAGGAAAUUCGGGGACAGUUUGAAAUUGAAAUGCUUCUUUUGCCCUUUCACUUUGGCCUUAUACUUAUCCUGACUCAAUUUGGUUCCGA